rnacentral:rRNA from 1 species
AGUGAACGCUGGCGGUAGGCCUAACACAUGCAAGUCGAACGGCAGCACAGUAAGAGCUUGCUCUUACGGGUGGCGAGUGGCGGACGGGUGAGGAAUACAUCGGAAUCUACUUUUUCGUGGGGGAUAACGUAGGGAAACUUACGCUAAUACCGCAUACGACCUACGGGUGAAAGCAGGGGAUCUUCGGACCUUGCGCGAUUGAAUGAGCCGAUGUCGGAUUAGCUAGUUGGCGGGGUAAAGGCCCACCAAGGCGACGAUCCGUAGCUGGUCUGAGAGGAUGAUCAGCCACACUGGAACUGAGACACGGUCCAGACUCCUACGGGAGGCAGCAGUGGGGAAUCUUGGACAAUGGGCGCAAGCCUGAUGCAGCCAUACCGCGUGGGUGAAGAAGGCCUUCGGGUUGUAAAGCCCUUUUGUUGGGAAAGAAAAGCAGCAGGUGAAUACCCCGCUGUUCUGACGGUACCCAAAGAAUAAGCACCGGCUAACUUCGUG